rnacentral:rRNA from 1 species
AUGGAGGUUAAAGAUACUUUUUAUAGAUGCUGCCAGAGAGUUGUGGGUGAUGGUCGCAAAACUAGAUUUUGGGAGGAUGUUUGGUUAAAAGACAAACCUCUAUGUUUGGUUUUCCCACGUCUUUACAACUUGACCUUUUGUAGGCACGUCACGGCCGCGAAGGUGUUUAGCCAGGAUUUUGAUUGCAUCAGAUUUAGGAGAUAUUUGUAUGGGGAGACCCUUGAGAUGUGGAACAAAUUACUUGAUAUGUGUAGUCAGGUGACCUUGUCGGAGGAACCUGACAGAGUUAAAUGGCUUCUUACCUCUUCUGGGAACUUUUCGGUUAAAUCUCUGUACCAUUAUCUUGUUGCUCGACAAGUUGUUUUCCCUUAUAAGUUGCUAUGGAGAAUGAAGAUGCCGUUGAAAAUUAAAGCCUUCUCCUGGUUAGUGAUCAAGAAUAGGAUCCUAACCAAAGAUAACUUAAGUAAAAAGGGUGGAAAGGUGCUAAGCAUUAUGAGUUUUGUGACAAUAUAG